UUGGUAGAGGCGCGCCUUUCAUCAGUAGCCCCUCCCAGCGCCGGGGCGGCGCGGGGCGAAAGGGAACGGCGCCGAAGGACGAGCGAUGCCCCGUCGUUCGAUCCUGGGGCGUAGCGGAAUACGCUGCGCACUGUCGCAUUAUGCGGAGAGCUGCCA
rnacentral:ncRNA from 1 species